GAUGAACGCUGGCGGCGUGCCUAAUACAUGCAAGUCGAACGAACAGACGAGGAGUUUCCUCUUCGGACGUGAGCGGCGGGCGGGAGAAUAACAUGUGUAUAACCUCCCUAACAGUCUGGUAUACCUUCGGAAAACCGGCUCUAAUACCGUAUAAUAUAUUGCACCACAGGUUCCAAUAGUGAAGGACGUUUUUGCUGUCACGUCUAGAUGGAUCCGCGCCUCAUUAUCUGGUUGGUAAGGUAACGGCUUACCAAGGGAACGAAGCGUAUCCGACCGGAGGGGGUGAUAGGCCACAUUGGAACUGAGACAGGGUCCAGAGUCCUACGGGAGGCCGCAGUAGGGAACCUGCCGCAGUGGGCGAGAGCUUGACGGAGCAACGCCGCGUGAGUGAUGACGGUGUCCGGAUCGUAAAACUCUGUUAUUGGGGAAGAACAAAUGUGUAAGUAACUAUGCACGUAUUGACGGUACCUAAUCAGAAAGCAACGGCUAACUACGUG
rnacentral:rRNA from 1 species